UGGAAAGAAGAGAAAGAAAAGCCCUGGAAGUUCAGAAACUAGCUGGCCUGGCAGACACAGCGAAAAACAGAGGCCGAUCUCAAACAUGGUGGCAGGCUGAAGAGGAGGACCUAAAGCUGAAAUAGUGAAGACCUUCGAGGAACAUCAGAAAUGGCUACAACUCAGGAAACCAUCCUGCAGUGAGGCCGCUGGGCUCCUUCAUGAAGGGCCCUACCCACCAGAUUGGGCAGAAAACUUGGCUUUAAGAAAUUCAGACUCUCAAGUUGAGUAAACUUUUUUUCCUGAGUCCUGUUUAAAGUCCUCCCGGCUGUGGGGCAGCCUCAGUGUGGAGCUCAGAAAAGGCUUCCAGGGCCCACCGCAGACAACAACGAUCCUGUGUCCUAGAACGUCUGCCUUACCUAGAUGGGUCUGUGUGCUGCGGAGCUUCCUCGCCUCACCUCGGCCUGGCUUUGAUCCAAACCAUUCCAGAGCAGCUCGGCCUUUGGUGACAGUGCCAUCAUUUCUCCCGGGAUGAUGCUCUCCCCAGCCAUCUGGCAGGGACAUAGAUUCUAUGGCAUGCCUCUGGAGGUCAGGCAUAACUCGAGGAAGUCAGUUUUUCUCUUCCUACUUGUGGGACCCAAGGACAGAACUCAGGUCAUCAGCUCAGCCAUCUUACUGGCCCAGAAGAUACAGUCUUAAAUGAUGAAUGGGUUAAUGAAGACAGCAAGGAGGAAAUUGAAAACUGCCUAAGAAUCAAACAACUUACCAGAACCUUUGUGAUACAGCAAAGGCAGUUCUGGAAAUAAAGCUUACAGCAAUGCAUGUUUAUAUGAAAAACCUGGAGAAAGCGCAAAUAAAU